AUGCAGAAAUGCCUCCUCAAGCAACUCGGCAGAAAUGCCCACGUCUACGUAGACGAUAUUGUGGUGAAGACAGAAAAGCGCGGGACCCUGCUGGAAGACCUCAAAGAAACAUUUGCCAACUUGCGCCGAUUCCAGAUCAAGCUCAACCCCGAGAAAUGCGUGUUCGGAGUACCAGCCGGCCAGCUUCUAGGCUUACUGGUCUCCGAACGCGGCAUUGAGUGCAACCCUGUGAAGAUCAAGGCCAUUGAGAGAAUGGAGAUUCCCACCAAGUUGCGAGACGUACAGAAGUUCACUAGGUGCCUGGCCUCCCUAAACCGCUUUAUCAGCCAGCUAGGAGAGAAGGCUCUCCCCCUGUACCGACUCAUGAAGAAAUCCACUCAUUUCGAGUGGAAUGACAAAGCAAACCAAGCCUUCCAUGAGUUGAAGAAGAUGCUGACCACUCCACCUGUCCUGGCGGCACCGACGGAGAAGGAGCCCAUGCUCCUCUACAUUGCCGCAACUAGCCGAGUGGUCAGUACAGUCGUCGUGGUCCAGCGCCCAGAAGAAGGCCGAGCCCAGCUAGUCCAGAGGCCGGUAUAUUAUCUAAGCGAAGUACUAUCCAGCUCAAAGCAAAACUACCCACACUACCAAAAGAUGUGUUAUGGAGUGUACUUCGCCGCCAAGAAGCUGAAGCCCUACUUUCAAGAGCAUCCCAUCACGGUCGUAUGCACCACCCCGCUUGCCGAGAUCAUAGGCAGCCGGGAUGCAUCCGGCCGGGUGGCUAAAUGGGCCAUUGCGCUUGCACCUUACACAAUCUUCUACCAGCCCCGCACCGCCAUCAAGUCCCAAGCAUUGGCCGACUUCCUCGUCGACUGGGCCGAGACCCAGUAA
rnacentral:rRNA from 1 species